rnacentral:rRNA from 1 species
AUGGAACUGCCGGGGGGGAACCGCCAGACAGUUCGAGAGGUGUUGGCCCUCACUAAAGCUAACAUCCCCAGUCUAGUUUUCUUAAGUGAGACUAGACAAGAUGUAGUGAGAAUGGAAAAGCUGAAGUGGAGAUUGGGAUUAAAAGGUUUCCAUGGAGUGAGUUCGGACGGAAGAAGCGGUGGCUUAGGCCUCUUUUGGGAUGAA